GUCUGGAUAUCUUUUGGAUCGAAAGGAACCUCUGGGUUUACGAUCCUGCGGGAGAAAAGCUCUUUUGCCUUCAGCUGCUCUUUUAAUACAUUCAUCCACGUUUUUCCCAAACAACAUGUCGCCGUGGAAAGGUAAGGCACAUAAACUAGAUUUAGAAGAGGUAUCUGCUAUCCAGGACCUUAACCAUAGAGCCCUUCUGGCUGAAACGGAG